AUUGAACGCUGGCGGCAUGCCUUACACAUGCAAGUCGAACGGCAGCACGGGUGCUUGCCCCUGGUGGCGAGUGGCGAACGGGUGAGUAAUACAUCGGAACAUGUCCUGUAGUGGGGGAUAGCCCGGCGAAAGCCGGAUUAAUACCGCAUACGAUCUACGGAGGACAGCGGGGGACCUUCGGGCCUCGCGCUAUAGGGUUGGCCGAUGGCUGAUUAGCUAGUUGGUGGGGUAAAGGCCUACCAAGGCGACGAUCAGUAGCUGGUCUGAGAGGACGACCAGCCACACUGGGACUGAGACACGGCCCAGACUCCUACGGGAGGCAGCAGUGGGGAAUUUUGGACAAUGGGCGAAAGCCUGAUCCAGCAAUGCCGCGUGUGUGAAGAAGGCCUUCGGGUUGUAAAGCACUUUUGUCCGGAAAGAAAUCCUUGGCCCUAAUACGGUCGGGGGAUGACGGUACCGGAAGAAUAAGCACCGGCUAACUACGUG
rnacentral:rRNA from 1 species